CAGUCGCCGCGGUAAUACAGAGGAUGCAAGCGUUAUCCGGAAUGAUUGGGCGUAAAGCGUCUGUAGGUGGCUUUUCAAGUCCGCCGUCAAAUCUCAGGGCUCAACCCUGGACAGGCGGUGGAAACUACCAAGCUGGAGUACGGUAGGGGCAGAGGGAAUUUCCGGUGGAGCGGUGGAAUGCGUUGAGAUUGGAAAGAACACCAACGGCGAAAGCACUCUACUGGGCCGACACUGACACUGAGAGACGAAAGCUAGGGGAGCAAAUGGGAUUAGAUACCCGCGUAGUCCCUGUCUCUUAUAA
rnacentral:rRNA from 1 species